UACGUAGGGUGCAAGCGUUGUCCGGAAUUAUUGGGCGUAAAGAGCGUGUAGGCGGCCCGACCAGUCCGCUGUGAAAGUCCAGGGCUCAACCCUGGAAUGCCGGUGGAUACUGUCGGGCUAGAGUCCGGAAUGGGCGAGUGGAAUUCCUGGUGUAGCGGUGAAAUGCGCAGAUAUCAGGAGGAACACCAAUGGCGAAGGCAGCUCGCUGGGACGUGACUGACGCUGAGACGCGAAAGCGUGGGGAGCGAACAGG
rnacentral:rRNA from 1 species